GCGGCUUUAAGAGCGAAGCGAUUGGCUUUGAUGGGAUCAUCACCCGAGGCAUGGAGGGACUGUGCGGCCCGGAGGAGAAGCAAACCUAGGUCGGAGGAGGAAGGUGGUGCGCCAAUCUCGUCUGUCUCGUUGGGUUUCAGGGCACUGGAGGAGGUGGAACGCCGAAGACGAUGAUGAUGAUGCUCAGCAGAUGACUCCAUCGGACUUUGGGUUUUGCUUGUGAUGUUGGUGAGGAUUAUAUGUAGAUCUGAGUAGUACUAAAAACCUUUUGGGUUCUGAAUAAUCAUGUGAGACCACUUAGAAAUUGCAUGCGCCACAACAUUAUCCGUCCUAAAGACAUGACAGAAAUAACAUGAAGCAAACUUUGAUUGGAGUA